CCUACGGUCGGCAGCAGUGGGGAAUAUUGGACAAUGGGCGAAAGCCUGAUCCAGCCAUGCCGCGUGUGUGAAGAAGGCCUUCGGGUUGUAAAGCACUUUCAGUGGGGAAGAAAGCCUUGGGGCUAAUACCCUCGAGGAAGGACAGCACCCACAGAAGAAGCACCGGCUAACUCCGUGCCAGCAGCCGCGGUAAUACGGAGGGUGCGAGCGUUAAUCGGAAUUACUGGGCGUAAAGCGUGCGUAGGCGGUUUGAUAAGCCGGUUGUGAAAGCCCCGGGCUCAACCUGGGAACGGCAUCCGGAACUGUCAGGCUAGAGUUCAGGAGAGGAAGGUAGAAUUCCCGGUGUAGCGGUGAAAUGCGUAGAGAUCGGGAGGAAUACCAGUGGCGAAGGCAGCCUUCUGGACUGAGACUGACGCUGAGGUGCGAAAGCGUGGGUAGCAAACAGGAUUAGAUACCCGGGUAGUC
rnacentral:rRNA from 1 species